GGGAAAUCCCCACGAUCUAGCAGAGGGUUACUUGAUUACGCACAUCAAUCGAUAUUUAUAUGCGAGUGUGUACAACGUGGAUACGUAUCGCGUAAUGACGGUCACCACAAAGGGUCCAUCUGGGGCUCGAAUUCGUUUUGAAAACAAAUAAGCACAGUAACCAUCGUUUAAAAUGAAAGAAAAGACAAACAUCUAGAAAAGACAAGUGGUCAGAGAAUAAAGAAAAGUAACACCAUUGACGAAAGGAGAAAGGAGACAACAGGAUAACUCAUGCCCUGACCGAGUGGCGCAGCUAGGCGAGUUCGUAUGUAUUGUAUAUUUACAUCAGCAUAUACUAUGAUAACUUUAAUUGUUUUACAUAAAAAAAAUCCUUAUAUUUUGAUCUCUUAGCACAAUAAUGCAAGGAACCUGCUACUUAACAGAGAUAGGGAAAAUGCCAAUGUUUUACCCCAUAACCCUAUUACCAGCACUGAUUGGCUGUUGACUUGCUGCUUGACUGGUGCGCAAUCAAAACAUUAUAUCUUUUAUUUGGAUAAGUGCCAGAUUCGUCGAUUCGCCGGUUUGUAGAUUUCCAUCUCACGGUAAGUGAGUUUUGAGAUAAGAUGUCUUCUUGCAAACUUUAUUUUACAACAAAUGCAAAACACCCGACCACCCACUCUUCUUGAUCAACAGGCUAGACUAUCUUACAGGAGUGUUUUUUCUUUCCCAUUGCGCCGCUAAAAUGAUGUGAAAAUAUAAUACGAUAAAUAAUGGAGGUAGGCUGUAAACCUCUAUAUCCAUAUCAAUCGAUAAACCGAUGAGUCGUUUGACUCAAAGUAAUAAACAACUGGAACUUGAACUGUAUCAAUUGAUGUUACAAUAAUUACAAUCAGACUGUUUCUUCACACAAGUUUUACAUAACUACAAACCGGUAUAUGCAUCAUUAAUUAGCUGAUUUUAUCAAAAUAACACUAACAAUUAAUCCUUUGCAACACGACAUGAAACACGACAUAUUGUUAU